AGUCCUGUAGUUUAGUGUGGUAAAAUUUUAAGGUGCAAACUUAAAGAGAGCUUUUGUGCUUUGGACUU
rnacentral:tRNA from 1 species